rnacentral:rRNA from 1 species
CCUACGGGGGGCAGCAGUGAGGAAUAUUGGUCAAUGGACGAGAGUCUGAACCAGCCAAGUAGCGUGAAGGAUGACUGCCCUAUGGGUUGUAAACUUCUUUUAUAUGGGAAUAAAACGUUCCACGUGUGGGAUUUUGUAUGUACCAUAUGAAUAAGGAUCGGCUAACUCCGUGCCAGCAGCCGCGGUAAUACGGAGGAUCCGAGCGUUAUCCGGAUUUAUUGGGUUUAAAGGGAGCGUAGGUGGAUUGUUAAGUCAGUUGUGAAAGUUUGCGGCUCAACCGUAAAAUUGCAGUUGAAACUGGCAGUCUUGAGUACAGUAGAGGUGGGCGGAAUGCGUGGUGUAGCGGUGAAAUGCUUAGAUAUCACGAAGAACUCCGAUUGCGAAGGCAGUUCACUGGACUGCAACUGACACUGAGGCUCGAAAGUGUGGGUAUCAAACAGGAUUAGAUACACCGGUAGUC